rnacentral:rRNA from 1 species
UACGGGGGGGCAAGCGUUGUUCGGAAUUACUGGGCGUAAAGGGCUCGUAGGCGGCCAACUAAGUCAGACGUGAAAUCCCUCGGCUCAACCGGGGAACUGCGUCUGAUACUGGAUGGCUUGAAUUCGGGAGAGGGAUGCGGAAUUCCAGGUGUAGCGGUGAAAUGCGUAGAUAUCUGGAGGAACACCGGUGGCGAAGGCGGCAUCCUGGACCGAGAUUGACGCUGAUGCGCGAAAGCCAGGGGAGCAAACGGG